GGAAUACUCCCUCCGUCCGAAAAUACUUGUCAUCAAAAUGGAUAAAAAGAGAUGUAUCUAUAUUUAAAAUACAACUAGAUACACCCCCUUUUAUCCAUUUUGAUGACAAGUAUUUUCGCACGGAGGGAGUACCAA
rfam:Triticum aestivum genome assembly, contig: Triticum_aestivum_CS42_TGACv1_scaffold_223860_3B